AGCAGAGACUCCUCUCCUCGUUUGGAUUAAUUCUAAUAUAAUAACUGUUGGUUUAUUUAUCGGUGCAGCAGCAGAACAUUUUCCACAGACAGUUUUUCUGCCCGUGGCUUGUUUUAACCAGUUUUCUACCUUCGGCUGAUUCUACCAGCAGACACUGAAGGACUCUGAUAGUUCGGUAAGUAAAUGUUUAUUUUCGUAUCGGUGCCGCUUUUAAUGCACUUUAUAUGCAGCUUUAGUGUCAGAUAUAAUGUGUGCCAUGCACUCCAGAUGUUGGUGGAGUUUGUUUCAGUGUGUGUUGACCAGAGAAGCGAGUUAGCAUCCGGUAAAUAUUAGCUUUAAUGUUAGCGAUUGAUUGGACCAACAGACACUGAAGGACUCUGACAGCUGGUUAGUAAUAAAUGAUAAUUUACUGAUCGGUGCCGGUUUUAAUGAACUUCAUGUUCAACUUCAGAGUCAGAUAUAAUGUGAGCAGUGAACCCCAGGAGUUGGUGGAGUUUAUUUCUGUGUGUGUUGACCAGAGAAGAGUUAGCAUCCAGUGAAUAUUAGUUUUAAUAUUAGCGAUGCUAACCGAGCUAUCUGAGCAGUCCUGAUUAACAGCUAAAUGUAGCAUCAAGCUAACGAUGUUUGUGUUGUUUCCUGUCAGCAGCUGAAGUGUGUUGUGUUCCUGUAAUGUGGUUCAUUAAGUUCAUAAAACUGUGGCUGGUUGACAUUAAUAUAACGUUCAGGAAACUUAAAUGUGAUUAAAACAGAAACAUUAAUGUUCUAGUUGUCAGUAAUCAGCUUUAAUUUGACACUAAAACAGACUCUGAUAGUUUUAAAUGACAUCAGUGUCAUGAAUUUGUUGAAAAUUGUCUCAUUUGUUGUUGUGAUGUUGCUGCUGAUUCAUGAAAACCAGAUGAUCCGUGUUGAAGACACGUUUAGUUCUAGUAUCAGAAGUACAAGAAGGAAAAUGGAAGUUUAGUUCUGCUACGUCAAAGGUUUCAGGAAUAAAAUAACUAAAUGAGUCUUUAUGCCUCAAACUUUAUUUUACAAAAAUGAAAUAAUGAAAUAAUCACAGAUAAUAAAAAUAUAAAUAGCAGAGAAAACCUGAGAGAAUAAUUUCCUGAAAAGUCUGUGAAGGAAAAGCAGCUUUUGAUCCUGAAAGAUCUGAAUCAGCUCCAACAUCUGCAUCUGACAGAAUCAAGUCAACCAGAAAGAAAAGAAAAAAGAAAAUGACUUCUUUCUGAUCACAUCUGUUCCGCUGCUUACAGGCUGCUGCUGCUCACAUUCUUCACAUUUAUUGUUCACUUUUAAAAGUUCAGCAGACAGGUGCUCUGCUUUGGAGUGUUACGAUGUUGUUGGUGAUGUGGAGAGUGAAGUUUCCGUUUCACCCACAGCGUGCUUUAGGGCAGCCAGGUCGGACUUGAUGUUUGAAAUGCUGACCGACAGCUCAGAUUUAACUGUCUGUAGUUCCGUUUUGAUGGAUGUUAAAUUUUCACUCAAAGCUGCCAGGAGCUGUGUCUUUAAAAUAACUGCCAUCUCCUUACAGAGUGAAAGCAGCAGUUCCUCCUUAAGGUCAGAGAUUGCAGCAUCUGAGGGCCUCUUCAAAAGAAGACGUAGUUGAUGAAGGCGUUCUGGAGCAGGACCAGAAAGACCACGACCAAGCAGCCUUGAGAUCUUAGGCAGCGUCUCCCUCAGCUUCAGCUCCAGAGACGGCAGGCGGGACGAGUCAACGGAGGCCGGGUGGACGAAGGCAUGCAGCUGAGUACAAUCCAGAAAACAACAGAGGAGGAGUGCAGUGGCCCAGAGCCAGAACAGAGUAGCAUCGUAUGUCUCUUAGAAAACAUCAUAGUAU